UGGUGAACUGAUUUGUCUGGUUAAUUCCGAUAACGAGCGAGACCUCCACCAGCGUGUGCUGCGCGCCGGGCGACCGGCGGGUGCGGCACGCUGGGACUGUGCGCGGUUAGCGCACGGAAGUUGGAGGCAAUAACA
rnacentral:rRNA from 1 species